UACGUAGGGUGCAAGCGUUAAUCGGAAUACUGGGCGUAAAGCGUGCGCAGGCGGUUUUGUAAGUCUGACGUGAAAUCCCCGGGCUCAACCUGGGAAUUGCGUUGGAGACUGCAAGGCUGGAGUCUGGCAGAGGGGGGUAGAAUUCCACGUGUAGCAGUGAAAUGCGUAGAGAUGUGGAGGAACACCGAUGGCGAAGGCAGCCCCCUGGGUCAAGACUGGCGCUCAUG
rnacentral:rRNA from 1 species